rnacentral:pre_miRNA from 1 species
CGGCCGGUUCACUUUAAGUUCGAAUACCAAGCCUGUCUGUAAAACAGUUUGGUGUUCCACCUUACAGUGAGUCGAUCG